rnacentral:rRNA from 1 species
UUAAGUUAGAAAGGGCGCACGGUGGAUGCCUUGACACUAGGAGUCGAUGAAGGACGGGACUAACGCCGAUAUGCUUCGGGGAGCUGUAAGUAAGCUUUGAUCCGAAGAUUUCCGAAUGGGGAAACCCACCAUACGUAAUGGUAUGGUAUCCUUAUCUGAAUACAUAGGGUAAGGAAGACAGACCCAGGGAACUGAAACAUCUAAGUACCUGGAGGAAGAGAAAGCAAAUGCGAUUUCCUGAGUAGCGGCGAGCGAAACGGAACAUAGCCCAAACCAAGAGGCUUGCCUCUUGGGGUUGUAGGACAUUCUAUACGGAGUUACAAAGGAACGAGGUAGACGAAGCGACCUGGAAAGGUCCGUCGUAGAGGGUAACAACCCCGUAGUCGAAACUUCGUUCUCUCUUGAAUGUAUCCUGAGUACGGCGGAACACGUGAAAUUCCGUCGGAAUCUGGGAGGACCAUCUCCCAAGGCUAAAUACUCCCUAGUGAUCGAUAGUGAACCAGUACCGUGAGGGAAAGGUGAAAAGCACCCCGGAAGGGGAGUGAAAGAGAUCCUGAAACCGUGUGCCUACAAAUAGUCAGAGCCCGUUAACGGGUGAUGGCGUGCCUUUUGUAGAAUGAACCGGCGAGUUACGAUCCCGUGCGAGGUUAAGCUGAAGAGGCGGAGCCGCAGCGAAAGCGAGUCUGAAUAGGGCGUUUAGUACGUGGUCGUAGACCCGAAACCAGGUGAUCUACCCAUGUCCAGGGUGAAGUUCAGGUAACACUGAAUGGAGGCCCGAACCCACGCACGUUGAAAAGUGCGGGGAUGAGGUGUGGGUAGCGGAGAAAUUCCAAUCGAACCUGGAGAUAGCUGGUUCUCCCCGAAAUAGCUUUAGGGCUAGCCUUAAGUGUAAGAGUCUUGGAGGUAGAGCACUGAUUGGACUAGGGGUCCUCAUCGGAUUACCGAAUUCAGUCAAACUCCGAAUGCCAAUGACUUAUCCUUAGGAGUCAGACUGCGAGUGAUAAGAUCCGUAGUCAAAAGGGAAACAGCCCAGACCGCCAGCUAAGGUCCCAAAGUGUGUAUUAAGUGGAAAAGGAUGUGGAGUUGCUUAGACAACUAGGAUGUUGGCUUAGAAGCAGCCACCAUUUAAAGAGUGCGUAAUAGCUCACUAGUCGAGUGACUCUGCGCCGAAAAUGUACCGGGGCUAAAUACACCACCGAAGCUGCGGAUUGAUACCAAUGGUAUCAGUGGUAGGGGAGCGUUCUAAGGACAGUGAAGUCAGACCGUAAGGACUGGUGGAGUGCUUAGAAGUGAGAAUGCCGGUAUGAGUAGCGAAAGACGGGUGAGAAUCCCGUCCACCGAAUGCCUAAGGUUUCCUGAGGAAGGCUCGUCCGCUCAGGGUUAGUCAGGACCUAAGCCGAGGCCGACAGGCGUAGGCGAUGGACAACAGGUUGAUAUUCCUGUACCACCUCUUUAUCGUUUGAGCAAUGGAGGGACGCAGAAGGAUAGAAGAAGCGUGCGAUUGGUUGUGCACGUCCAAGCAGUUAGGCUGAUAAGUAGGCAAAUCCGCUUAUCAUAAAGGCUGAGCUGUGAUGGGGAAGCUCCUUAUGGAGCGAAGUCUUUGAUUCCCCGCUGCCAAGAAAAGCUUCUAGCGAGAUAAAAGGUGCCUGUACCGCAAACCGACACAGGUAGGCGAGGAGAGAAUCCUAAGGUGUGCGAGAGAACUCUGGUUAAGGAACUCGGCAAAAUGACCCCGUAACUUCGGGAGAAGGGGUGCUUUCUUAACGGAAAGCCGCAGUGAAUAGGCCCAAGCGACUGUUUAGCAAAAACACAGCUCUCUGCGAAGCCGUAAGGCGAAGUAUAGGGGGUGACACCUGCCCGGUGCUGGAAGGUUAAGGAGAGGGGUUAGCGUAAGCGAAGCUCUGAACUGAAGCCCCAGUAAACGGCGGCCGUAACUAUAACGGUCCUAAGGUAGCGAAAUUCCUUGUCGGGUAAGUUCCGACCCGCACGAAAGGUGUAACGAUUUGGGCACUGUCUCAACCAGAGACUCGGUGAAAUUAUAGUACCUGUGAAGAUGCAGGUUACCCGCGACAGGACGGAAAGACCCCGUGGAGCUUUACUGUAGCCUGAUAUUGAAUUUUGGUACAGUUUGUACAGGAUAGGCGGGAGCCAUUGAAACCGGAGCGCUAGCUUCGGUGGAGGCGCUGGUGGGAUACCGCCCUGACUGUAUUGAAAUUCUAACCUACGGGUCUUAUCGACCCGGGAGACAGUGUCAGGUGGGCAGUUUGACUGGGGCGGUCGCCUCCUAAAGUGUAACGGAGGCGCCCAAAGGUUCCCUCAGAAUGGUUGGAAAUCAUUCGUAGAGUGCAAAGGCAUAAGGGAGCUUGACUGCGAGACCUACAAGUCGAGCAGGGACGAAAGUCGGGCUUAGUGAUCCGGUGGUUCCGCAUGGAAGGGCCAUCGCUCAACGGAUAAAAGCUACCCCGGGGAUAACAGGCUUAUCUCCCCCAAGAGUCCACAUCGACGGGGAGGUUUGGCACCUCGAUGUCGGCUCAUCGCAUCCUGGGGCUGUAGUCGGUCCCAAGGGUUGGGCUGUUCGCCCAUUAAAGCGGUACGCGAGCUGGGUUCAGAACGUCGUGAGACAGUUCGGUCCCUAUCCGUCGUGGGCGUAGGAAAUUUGAGAGGAGCUGUCCUUAGUACGAGAGGACCGGGAUGGACGCACCGCUGGUGUACCAGUUGUUCUGCCAAGGGCAUAGCUGGGUAGCUAUGUGCGGAAGGGAUAAGUGCUGAAAGCAUCUAAGCAUGAAGCCCCCCUCAAGAUGAGAUUUCCCAUAGCGUAAGCUAGUAAGAUCCCUGAAAGAUGAUCAGGUUGAUAGGUUCGAGGUGGAAGCAUGGUGACAUGUGGAGCUGACGAAUACUAAUAGAUCGAGGACUUAACCA